GACAGAGGGUGCAAACGUUGUUCGGAAUUACUGGGCGUAAAGCGAGUGUAGGCGGUUUGAUAAGUCGGAUGUGAAAGCCCCGGGCUCAACCCGGGAAGUGCACUCGAUACUGUCAAGCUAGAGUAUGGAGAGGUUGGUGGAAUUCUCGGUGUAGAGGUGAAAUUCGUAGAUAUCGAGAGGAACACCGGUGGGCGGAAAGGGCGGGCCCAACUGGGACGAA
rnacentral:rRNA from 1 species